UACGUAGGUCGCGAGCGUUGUCCGGAAUCAUUGGGCGUAAAGAGCUCGUAGGCGGCCUGUCGCGUCUGCUGUGAAAUCCCGGGGCUUAACCCCGGGCGUGCAGUGGAUACGGGCUGGCUGGAGGCAGGCAGGGGAGAACGGAAUUCCCGGUGUAGCGGUGAAAUGCGCAGAUAUCGGGAGGAACACCGGUGGCGAAGGCGGCUCUCUGGACCGUAACUGACGCUGAGGCGCGAAAGCGUGGGGAGCAAACAGG
rnacentral:rRNA from 1 species